rnacentral:rRNA from 1 species
UACGUAGGGUGCGAGCGUUAAUCGGAAUUACUGGGCGUAAAGGGCUCGUAGGCGGCCAACUAAGUCAGACGUGAAAUCCCUAGGCUCAACCUAGGAACUGCGUCUGAUACUGGAUGGCUUGAAUCCGGGAGAGGGAUGCAGAAUUCCAGGUGUAGCGGUGAAAUGCGUAGAUAUCGGGAAGGAACACCAGUGGCGAAGGCGGCUCUCUGGGCAUUACCUGGACGCUGAGGAGCGAAAGUGUGGGGAGCGAACAG